GGGGCCAUAGCUCAGCUGGGAGAGCACCUGCCUUGCACGCAGGGGGUCGGGAGUUCGAUCCUCCCUGGCUCCACCA
rnacentral:tRNA from 2 species